rnacentral:rRNA from 1 species
AUUGAACGCUGGUGGCAUGCUUUACACAUGCAAGUCGGACGAGUGGCGAACGGGUGAGUAACGCAUCGGAACGUACCGAGUAAUGGGGGAUAACUGUCCGAAAGGACAGCUAAUACCGCAUACUAUUCGAGCGGCCGAUGUCUAAUUAGCUGGUUGGCGGGGUAAAGGCCCACCAAGGCGACGAUCAGUAGCGGGUCUGAGAGGAUGAUCCGCCACACUGGGACUGGGACACAGCCCAAACUCCUACGGCAGGCAGCAGUGGGGAGUUUUGGACAAGAGGCGCAAGCGUGACCCAGCCAUGCCGCGUGUCUGAAGAAGGCCUUCGGGUUGUAAAGGACUUUUGUCAGGGAGGCGAUACCUGAAGAAUAAGCACCGGCUAACUACGUGCCAGCAGCCGCGGUGAUUC